AUUCACUUUAAUUUAAUGAAAAAAUUAAUUAAAGAUAAACUAUCAUGGAAUUUUUUAUUUUUUAUCCAGUUAGUGAUAUUGAACAAUUUUCAAAAGAAAAAUUCAGUUUUCUUUUUCAACAAGACGAAUUAGGUGCCAGCAGUCGCGGUCAUACCUAAUUGUAAGAUUUUUUUUAGAUUAUUUUUUUUAAAAAAAGAUUUUUUUUUAGUAAAAUAUAAAAUAUCUUAUUUUUUUUAUAAAAUAAAAUUAAUAAAAUUCUGUCUUAAAAACUAGGAUUAGAUACCCUACUAUUUUAGAACACAUCAAUUAAUCUAAGCACUAAAAUAAAAUAAUAUUAAAACUUAAAAAUUAUGGCGGUAAAAUCAAACUUUAGGGGAACUUACCAGAUAAUUGAUAACCCUCAAGUGUCAUCACUUAAACUAAUAGCUUAUAUAUUGCCGUUGUGUUUUCCCUUAAGGAGAAAUCAAUUAUUAAUAUUAAUACAUAACAGGUCAUAGUGUAGCAUAUGUUUAAGUCUUAAGGUGAGUUACAAUAUUACUUUUUUUCAGUUUUGAAAAUAAAAAAUUCACUUAAGAUGGACUUAAAAGUAACUAAAAAAUAUAUAAUUAAUGAAUUUCUUUGAUUUUGUGCACACAUUGCCCGUCAUUCUCCUUAUUUUUUAAAAGGAGACAAGUCGUAACAUAGUAGAGGUAACUGAAGUUGUCUCUU
rnacentral:ncRNA from 1 species